rnacentral:lncRNA from 1 species
UGCCUUUGUAACCCUCCCUCCCCUUGAGUGGGGGCUGAUUUAGUGACUUGCUUCUAGAGAAUAGAAUGCAGUAGAGUUGAUGGGAUGUCACUUUUGAUAUUAGUAUAUAAAAAGGCUGUGCACUCUCUCUUGCCUUCUCACUUGCUUUGAGGGAAGCCCACUGCCAUGUUGCAAGCUGCCCUGUGAAGAGGCCUCCAUGACAAAGAACUGUAGGGUCCCCUGGACAACAGCCAGCAAGGCAAUGAGACCCUUAGUCCAAUAGCCCACGAGGAACUGAAUCUUGCCAAGAACCACAUGGAUGAGGUUGCAAGUAGGUCCUUCCCAAGUGUACCCUGGACGACAUUGUUACAUGUGCUUUCCCAAAUCCACGGACUUCUGGCUGAUCCGGGGUUGCAAUAUGCACUGCACCACCAUCCUCUCUCUUGGAAAUUCCCUUCGGCUGGGAAAGAAAUGGAUGAUCAAGCAAGCCCAUGAGAAAGACAUUUCGGGAAAACUAGAAUCCUGUUAAGUUAUGGGAUUUUUUUCAAGCCACAUGGUUGAUAAGUAGUCUGACCAGGAUCCUGGAGCAACACAAGGAAGACAAGGACCCUUGAAGACAAGGCAGCCUUGAAACCAAAUGAAGCCCUGGGCCAGUGAGCAUGGCAAGAGGAAGACUGUUAAUUGCGAGAAAGCUGGGUCUUGAAGAUGAUUCCAUAUCAACAUACAGGGAGUUCCACCACUGAAUGGUCUAUCGGUUGGGAAUGCCAUCAUUUAUUUUCACCAGUGGGGAAGAAUUGGUAUUAAUAUCAAAACCACAGUACUGUCAUACCCAGCUAUAAUUUGCAAUGUUUAUAUGCCUGUACGAAUGAAUAAUUAACAGUUAAAUGAAUCAAUAUAUAUCUAUCUAUGUGUAGGAAUAUCUAAUCUAUAAUAUAUGCUCGCGUAAGUGGUAAUUAAUCUCUUUUUUGAGACAGGGUCUUUCUCUGUCAUACAGGCUGGAGUGCAAUGACAUGAUUAUGGACCUUCAGGGAUUGAGCAGCUCGACAUCCCAAGGAUCAAGCAAUCCUCCGGCCUCAGCCUACCAAGUAGCUGGGACUACAGCCAUUUGACACCCCACCCAGUUAAUUUUUGUUUUUUGUUUUUUUGUAAAGACAAGGUUUAGCCAUGUUGCCCAGGCUGGUCUGGAACCCCUGGGUUCAAGCAAUCCUCCCACCUCAGCUUCCCAAAGUGCUGGGAUUAUAGGCAUAAGCCACUGCACCCAGCAUAAAUAAUCUCUUAUUUGUUCAUCCAUGGUGUUGUCUUUAGUUUUUAAAAAUGGAUCCUUUUGUUAUUCUUUUAUAGCCCCAGAUUAAGAAUUUGUCCAAGUUUUGUAUAUUUUUUCAGUUAUUUCAAUAUCAAAGCCCAGCACAUCUUUAAAAUCACUUCUAUGUAUAGAUAUUAACCUUUUUGACAUUUGUGUUUUGGUAUUCCAUAUUUACUCAGUUCUCCUUUCACACCCUCCCUUUAGAAGAGGAGUAUGACCAUGGCAGGAUGGAGGGGUAGUGGCAGUAGGGGCCAUAGUAUGUUUUCUAUAUUUAUCCAGCAUAUUUAAAACAUGGUAUUCUAGCUUCAAGGGAGAACAUUGAACUCCCAUUUGGACAUGUUAAGUUGAAGAUGUCUGUUAGACACCCAAGAGAAUAUGUCAAGCAGAUAUCAUCUGCCCUUGUUUUUCCUUUUCCAAACUGGCUCUCCUUAGUUCCAUCUCCAGAUGACAUGGUCCUCAAACCCUUUGUGAUCUUGGUUCUCUACUCCAGUUCUUCAAUGUUUUUCUUGAAUGUGGCACCCAGAAUUAAAUAGAGCACCCCAGAUAAUGGCUGCCCAGCAGGAUAGACAUGUGUUUGUUAUAUAAUUCUUAGAGACUAUAGCUGACGUCACUGGUGCCCAGCCCAUAUCUUCUUGAGCCCUAGCAUUUUCGUGCAUGGUGGCCUGAUUUCUAACUGUCAGCACCUAAAUAUCUUUGCCUGAGGACUUUCUCUGUCGGCCAGAGCCUGCUUUGUGCACAGUCAGAAGUGCCAAGGAGUCAACACUCCCCAAAGGAGUCUUCAGCCAGUAACGAAAUGAAAGGUGGAGUAUAAAAACCCCAGCUCCCUCACCACUCAGCUGGGGUAGCCCUGAGAUUCAUGCUCUCCACCCUCUUCAGAGUUUCCCGGCAGCAUCAUGUUCCUGUUACCCUUCUCACUACUGACUUGAUGCUCAUCCUUUCUUGGCUCCUUCCCUGUGUCACUUCCCCCAUCCCAUAUGGGAGAAGGCUUCCUGGGUUCACCUUCCAAAGUAAUUACUGGUACUGGAAUUCUCAUCUCAAGUUUUGCCUUAGGGUCACCCAAACUAAGACAGUGCCUAAUGCUGCAUCAGCUUUCUUACCAGUCACAUGAUGCUGUUGUAUCCUUAAUGUCAGAUAAACUCCCAGCUUCUUUUUAUGUCAACUGCUACCAAGCCACACAUUCUCAGUGCUGUGCCUUUGUUAUUGAUUUUUUAACCUAAACUCAGAGUUUAUGUUUAUUCCUGUUAUACUCUUAAGUUUUUUUCCAUAUUCCAACCUAACAGAAUAACUUUGAAUAUUGAUUUGUUCUUUCGUUGUGUUAACUAUCCCUUCCAGACAUGAGUCAUAUGUAGAAAUCUGAUAAGCAUGUUUCCUGUGCCUUCAUUCACUUAAAACAAACAAACAAACAAACUUUGAACAAGGUAGGGUUAGGAAAAGAAUUCUAAACUCAAUUCCUCCCAUUGUUCAAUAAUCAAGAUUCUUUCAGUAAGAAUGCUUAUUGGUAGUGAUUCAAACUAUCUGCACCAGUUCAACCCAGAAUUUACAAAUUUGCCCAUAGGAAUAUCAGGCAAGCUCAGCUCAGUUGCUUUGCUAGAAUAGAGAAGAUCCACAAUUAUGUCAUGCCUCUGAUACAUGAGCCUAUAACCUUAUCAGAAAGGAAAUAUGGUUCAUUUGGCUUGUUAUUAGCAAUUUUAUUUUAACCACUAAGAACCUCUGAAUUCAUUUCUAAAACCCUCCAAUCUUCCUUUUAUUUUCUUUUAUUUAUAUAUAUAUAUUUUUAUUUUAUUUUACUUUAUUUUUGAGACAGAGUCUCACUCUGUCACCAGGCUGGAGUGCAGUGGCAUGAUCUCGGCUCACUGCAACCUCUGCAUCCCGGGUUCAAGCAAUUCCUCUGCCUCAGCCUCCCAAGUAGCUGGGAAUACAGGUGCACACCACCAUGCCCAGCUAAUUUUUGUAUUUUUAGUAGAGAUGGUGUUUCACCAUGUUGGCCAGGAUGGUCUCGAUCUCUUGACCUUGUGAUCUGCCCACCUCGGCCUCCCAAAGUGCUGGGAUUACAGGCGUGAGCCAUCACGCCUGGCCUCCAAUCUUCCUUUUAAUAAUUUGAUCUGGAAUUUUAUCAGGGAGCUAUGCAUGCAUGUCAGGGGAGAUCAAGUUUAUGGUUUCCAGAAUCUACACUUUCUUUUUGAGAAUGGGAACUUUUGCCAGUACAUUGUUUUCCUAUCCUCAUUUCCAUAAUUUCUCAACAACAGUAAGUAGUUUUAAGGUCACAUUUGCAAGUUUUUUGAGGAGCCUGGGAUGUAACUUUUCUGGAGACUUCAACCUACUUUAAAUGGUCACAUGCCCCCUGUGUCCCUCACUGCCUCCCUUCUGCUGAGCUCUCCCCAGUCCUGGGAAGGCUGAUUCUUUAGCUAGAGAACCCAGACCAGCCCUGUGGCCUCAUAUUUCCACAUCAGCCUUCUUGAAUCUGUGUUCCUCCCCCCUCACUUAUCUUUUUACAUCAAACACAUGGCUCAAAGCUUUUGAUAUUUGACUUGACUCUUCAGGACCCCAAGCUCCUCUGACUCAGCCCUCCACCCCCCACCCCUAACCCACGGCCCACUCUGCUUGAGGGCUCCCCAAAACCUCAAACUCCACCGUAAGCUCCCUGAGCAGCCACAAGGAUUUUGGGGUUUGGUUUGGUUUUGCCUCUUACUCCCUUUUCAUUUUCCCUGGCAUCAUUCACAUUCACCAAUCAGAUUCAUUUUUAUCAUCUCCUAUUCCUCAUGAGAAAUACAUUUUUUUAUAACCUUUUACCUUGAAUUCAAAUCCAUUUUUCCUCUGAAGCACCUGAGGUGAGGUGGGUAUCUCCUCUUGUCCUAAUCUUAUCCACAUGCCAUGAUAUGGUUUGUCUGUGUCCCUACCCAAAUCUCAUCUUGAAUCAUAGCUCCUGUAAUCCCCAUGUGUUGUGGGAAGAACCUGGUGGGAGGUAAUUGAAUCAGAGGGGUGGGUUUUUCCCAUGCUGUUCUUGUGAUAAUGAAUAAGUUUCAUGAGAUCUGAUGGUUUUAUAAAGGCGAGUUCCCCUGCAAAAUGCUCUCUUUCCUGCCACCAUGUAAGAUGUGACUUUGCUUCUCCUUUGCUUCCACCAUGAUUGUGAGUCCUCCCCAGCCAUGUGGAACUGUGAGUCAAUUAAACCUCUUUCCUUUAUAAAUUACCCAGUCUCAGAUAUGUCUUUAUUAGCAGCAUCAAAACAGACUAAUACACACCACCAGUUUUCCUCCUGCAUGUUCCUCAGUUCUGCUAGAACUGUAAAAAGAUGGAUUCCAUAGACUGGAGUCACCCUGAGGGCAGGGAUGGACCCCUAU